rnacentral:rRNA from 1 species
GAUGAACGCUAGCUACAGGCUUAACACAUGCAAGUCGAGGGGCAGCGCAGUGUAGCAAUACAUGGGCGGCGACCGGCGCACGGGUGCGUAACGCGUAUCCAACCUUCCCGUUACUCUUGGAUAGCCUUCCGAAAGGGAGAUUAAUACAAGAUGGUAUUCAAAUUCCGCAUGUUAUUUGAAUUAAAGAUUUAUCGGUAACGGAUGGGGAUGCGUGACAUUAGAUAGUAGGCGGGGUAACGGCCCACCUAGUCUACGAUGUCUAGGGGUUCUGAGAGGAAGGUCCCCCACACUGGAACUGAGACACGGUCCAGACUCCUACGGGAGGCAGCAGUGAGGAAUAUUGGUCAAUGGUCGGAAGACUGAACCAGCCAAGUAGCGUGAAGGAUGAAGGUUCUAUGGAUUGUAAACUUCUUUUAUACGGGAAUAAAACACCUUACGUGUAGGGUCUUGUAUGUACCGUAUGAAUAAGCAUCGGCUAACUCCGUGCCAGCAGCCGCGGUAACAC